AACAGGAUUAGAUACCCUGGUAGUCCACGCCGUAAACGAUGUCGACUUGGAGGUUGUGCCCUUGAGGCGUGGCUUCCGGAGCUAACGCGUUAAGUCGACCGCCUGGGGAGUACGGCCGCAAGGUUAAAACUCAAAUGAAUUGACGGGGGCCCGCACAAGCGGUGGAGCAUGUGGUUUAAUUCGAUGCAACGCGAAGAACCUUACCUGGUCUUGACAUCCACAGAACUUUCCAGAGAUGGAUUGGUGCCUUCGGGAACUGUGAGACAGGUGCUGCAUGGCUGUUGUCAGCUCGUGUUGUGAAAUGUUGGGUUAAGUCCCGCAACGAGCGCAACCCUUAUCCUUUGUUGCCAGCGGUCCGGCCGGGAACUCAAAGGAGACUGCCAGUGAUAAACUGGAGGAAGGUGGGGAUGACGUCAAGUCAUCAUGGCCCUUACGAGUAGGGCUACACACGUGCUACAAUGGCAUAUACAAAGAGAAGCGAACUCGCGAGAGCAAGCGGACCUCAUAAAGUAUGUCGUAGUCCGGAUUGGAGUCUGCAACUCGACUCCAUGAAGUCGGAAUCGCUAGUAAUCGUAGAUCAGAAUGCUACGGUGAAUACGUUCCCGGGCCUUGUACACACCGCCCGUCACACCAUGGGAGUGGGUUGCAAAAGAAGUAGGUAGCUUAACCUUCGGGAGGGCGCUUACCACUUUGUGAUUCAUGACUGGGGUGAAGUCGUAACAAGGUAACC
rnacentral:rRNA from 1 species